GCAUGGCUGUCUAAGCAUGCGAGUCAUUGUAGCAAUACAAGGCAGACGGCUCAGUAACGCGUAGUCAAUCUACCCUAUGGACGGGAAUAACCUCGGGAAACUGAGAAUAAUGCCCGAUAGAACAUUAUACCUGGAACGGUUUAUGUUUCAAAUGAUUUAUCGCCGUAGGAUGGGACUGCGGCCUAUCAGUUUGUUGGUGAGGUAAUGGCCCACCAAGACUAUUACAGGUACGGGCUCUGAGAGGAGUAGCCCGGAGAUGGGUACUGAGACACGGACCCAGGCCCUAUGGGGCGCAGCAGGCGAGAAAACUUUGCAAUGUGCGAAAGCACGACAAGGUUAAUCCGAGUGGUUUCUGCUAAAGAAACCUUUUGCCAGUCCUAGAAACACUGGUGAAUAAGGGGUGGGCAAGUUCUGGUGUCAGCCGCCGCGGUAAAACCAGCACCUCAAGUGGUCAGGAUGAUUAUUGGGCCUAAAGCAUCCGUAGCUCGUUUUGUAUGUUUUCGGUUAAAUCCAUACGCUCAACGUAUGGGCUGCCGGGAAUACUGCAUGACUAGGAAGUGGGAGAGGUAGACGGUACUCGAUAGGAAGGGGUAAAAUCCUUUGAUCUAUUGAUGACCACCUGUGGCGAAGGCGGUCUACCAGAACACGUUCGACGGUGAGGGAUGAAAGCUGGGGGAGCAAACCGGAUUAGAUACCCGGGUAGUCCCAGCUGUAAACUAUGCAAACUCAGUGAUGCAUUGGCUUGUGGCCAAUGCAGUGCUGCAGGGAAGCCGUUAAGUUUGCCGCCUGGGAAGUACGUACGCAAGUAUGAAACUUAAAGGAAUUGGCGGGGGAGCACCACAAGGGGUGAAGCCUGCGGUUCAAUUGGAGUCAACGCCGGG
rnacentral:rRNA from 1 species